rnacentral:rRNA from 1 species
ACGCUAGCUACAGGCUUAACACAUGCAAGUCGACCUUCAGCGUCAUCAAAGCUUGCUUUGAUGGAUGGCGACCGGCGCACGGGUGAGUAACACGUAUCCAACCUGCCGACAACUCUGGGAUAGCCUUUCGAAAGAAAGAUUAAUACCGGAUGGCAUAGUUUUCCCGCAUGGGGUAAUUAUUAAAGAAUUUCGGUUGUCGAUGGGGAUGCGUUCCAUUAGGCAGUUGGCGGGGUAACGGCCCACCAAACCAACGAUGGAUAGGGGUUCUGAGAGGAAGGUCCCCCACAUUGGAACUGAGACACGGUCCAAACUCCUACGGGAGGCAGCAGUGAGGAAUAUUGGUCAAUGGACGAGAGUCUGAACCAGCCAGGUAGCGUGAAGGAUGACUGCCCUAUGGGUUGUAAACUUCUUUUAUACGGGAAUAAAGUGAGCCACGUGUGGCUUUUUGUAUGUACCGUAUGAAUAAGGAUCGGCUAACUCCGUGCCAGCAGCCGCGGUAAUACGGAGGAUCCGAGCGUUAUCCGGAUUUAUUGGGUUUAAAGGGAGCGUAGGCGGGUUGUUAAGUCAGUUGUGAAAGUUUGCGGCUCAACCGUAAAAUUGCAGUUGAUACUGGCGACCUUGAGUGCAACAGAGGUAGGCGGAAUUCGUGGUGUAGCGGUGAAAUGCUUAGAUGUCACGAAGAACUCCGAUUGCGAAGGCAGCUUACUGGAUUGUAACUGACGCUGAUGCUCGAAAGUGUGGGUAUCAAACAGGAUUA